CCGCCCUUUAGUGCUGCAGCUAACGCAUUAANCNCUCCGCCUGGGGAGUACGGUCGCAAGACUGAAACUCAAAGGAAUUGACGGGGGCCCGCACAAGCGGUGGAGCAUGUGGUUUAAUUCNAAGCAACGCGAANAACCUUACCAGGUCUUGACAUCCUCUGACAACUCUAGAGAUAGAGCGUUCCCCUUCGGGGGACAGANUGACAGGUGGUGCAUGGUUGUCGUCAGCUCGUGUCGUGAGAUGUUGGGUUAAGUCCCGCAACGAGCGCAACCCUUGAUCUUAGUUGCCAGCAUUUAGUUGGGCACUCUNANGUGACUGCCGGUGACAAACCGGAGGAAGGNGGGGAUGACGUCAAAUCAUCAUGCCCCUUAUGACCUGGGCUACACACGUGCUACAAUGGAUGGUACANAGGGNUGCAAGACCGCGAGGUCAAGCCAAUCCCAUAAAACCAUUCUCAGUUCGGAUUGUAGGCUGCAACUCGCCUACAUGAAGCUGGAAUCGCUAGUAAUCGCGGAUCANCAUGCCGCGGUGAAUACGUUUCCCGGGNCUUGUACACACCGCCCGUCACACCACGAGAGUUUGUAACACCCGAAGUCGGUGGAGUAACCGUAAGGAG
rnacentral:rRNA from 2 species